GUUGUAAGGUGGGCAUUACAGUCUAUAAGAUCUCCUCAAGCCUGACUUCUCCCUACAGUGGGGGGACUGCACCGUUUUCCCCCAACAUCAUCCCUGAGGCAACAUCCUGAGCCGCAGGUGACAGGGACUGUAGGCCUGCAUCUGGGGGUGACCCCCUCUGUGAUCCGUAAGCGAUAUAACUUGACCUCACAAGACGUGGGCUCUGGCACCAGCAAUAACAGCCAAGCCUGUGCCCAGUUCCUGGAGCAGUAUUUCCAUGACUCAGACCUGGCUCAGUUCAUGCGCCUCUUCGGUGGCAACUUUGCACAUCAGGCAUCAGUAGCCCGUGUGGUUGGACAACAGGGCCGGGGCCGGGCCGGGAUUGAGGCCAGUCUAGAUGUGCAGUACCUGAUGAGUGCUGGUGCCAACAUCUCCACCUGGGUCUACAGUAGCCCUGGUACUACCAAGAGGACUGGACAGUGGGGAAGGGGGUGGGAGAUGGGUGUUGAUCCCUGCUCCCUCAAGGGAAUGCUAUAAGCUGGAGAGAGAUCCUGACAACCCCCAGUGACUAUCUUUGUGCCCAUCCCUCAAAAAAAAAAAA
rnacentral:sRNA from 1 species